CCGCCAUUCGUCUGAGUGAAGGACUCACCUCGCAGCGUCCCAGCACAGAACAACAUCGCGACCGCUUGAGACAACAGUCCAGGAUCUUAGUGGUGCCAUCAAGCCCGGAUCAACUGCAGCCGCAAUGUUCAAGUUAAGUGCUUAUGUGUCUUCUGGGGUUAAAAUGGUAACAUCUUGCAGAUAUGGACUGGGACUAACUUCUCAUAGCCACGAUAGAAAGUAAAUGAAUUGAGUGUGUUUUGUUGACAUGCCGAGGGAUGUUUCUGGUAGAUAUUCGGACGUGCAUUU